GAACACGCCCGAAGCGGGAAGGUCACGUAGCACACGCACGCCGCCGGGUUUCUCUAGAAGACCGACGUUCUGAGCGGCAAACAGCCUGACGACGGCUGGGCGGCAGGGGUGUCGGGCCGAGGACAGCCCACGGUGCCUUCGGUACCACGAGGCACCUCCACGAGGCACGCGUGGCGGCCUCUGAGCCUCCGUCCGCCCCUCCUGGCUGCUGCCCUCAGGUGUCACCCACGGAGACCUCUCCUGUGACGCCGAGCCUGGUGACUGGGGGACGAACUCUCACAGGUGUCCCGCGAACCCCCUUCUACCCCCUGCCAGGUCCCACACACAGAGGGACCCCAUCUGCGUAUCUUAAAUGCUGCCUGAAGCAACGCUGGAUUCGCAAGUCAGCUGCUUCUCGCAGUUCUCUAGCCAGAUCCUACAUUCUGGCUACGAAAGAGGAGAUGGCAGAGGGGACCAGUGGGUGCUCAGAGUGUUCUUCAUACCACUCGGAGGUGCUGAGGUCAGAGCUGUGUCCACUCUCGGCAGACCAGAGGCGACAAGGCAGUGGUCCGCCUCUUCACUGCCACGGUCCAGGGCCGUGCAGAGGCCAGCAUCCACGUGUCAAGCCUGGUCACAAUGAAAAGAGAAAAACCACUAAUGGGGAAAAAAAUGUCCUCUCACUGAACCUUAAAAUGUAAGCCCUCAACAGCUGCCAACUUUUAUGAAUUCAUGUACCUCAACUCGGUCCCAACUAUAAUAAGUUCAUCAUACAUUAAAAUUAAAAAAAAAAAAAAAUGCAGUUCAAGGAGAGCCAAAGGCUAAACACAGAAGGCAUCCGUGGCUGCUUCCAAGGGUGUAGUUCUGGGGGGCGUCUACGCUCCGAAACACCAAGGCCCAAAGCAAAACCCCACUACGCAUUAGCGUGGAGCACUGCUUUGAUGGGUGCAGAAAAUGGUUUGGUCUCAUAUUUUAUUACAUCAAUGGCUUGAAAAUUUUUUAUUUAACUUCAGCAAAUAUUAGAAAUAGAAAAAUGAAUUCUGCAGAAUUUCACAAAUAAAUUUUUCGAUCUCCACUAACAAAUGUUAUCAUUCAAUGGCUAAGCAAUUAUAAUGCUAUGAACAUUCACCACAAUGAGUGUGCUGAUAUAGAAAACAGGCAAAAAGAGACAUUAAAAUAUUACUUACAACAGCAUUAUUAACAACAUAUUUUCUUUAAAAUUCCAACAUGGAUUUUAUCACUUCAAAAGAUAAACAGCAUUUCCAUUAUAUUUGCAAACUUAACCUUAUACAUCUUUUAAAAUCUUGAAAAAUUUUUAAGCAAUCUAAAAAGCACUUAGCAAAGUUGAUAGGUCUACGUAAUGGAAUACUAUCCACUCCAGUAAAAAUUUUAGUUUUCGGAGAAGGUGACUGUAAACACUCAUUAUCACACGACAUGCAUAGACUCUACUGACCUUCCUUCUUCUGAAUUGUAACAUUGCCGCAAUUGUGCUUUAGUGUAAGAGGGAAAGCUGCAGGGACCCAGGGAGGGGCGGAGAGAGAAUCUGUUUUUGAGCAUUGCACAAGAUCACUAGAUUCAGAUUAGCUAACUACCUUGAGUCAACGGGAAGCCAAGUUUCACUCGAUACUGAAAGCUUGGAUCCUGGGUCACUGGGCUUAGACACAGGCUGGACGAGAGAGGAGACGAGGCUCUCGUCUGAGUUGGCUCCGUCUUUCCUUUGCUCCGUUUAAGCAGGGAUCCAGUUAGUGUAAUGCACUGUUUGGCUUAUUUUUGGUAUGCAAUUAUACCAAUAGUACAUCUGAUAUUUAGAGAGACAAAAAUAGGGCGUAGUUGAAAUUUAAAGUGACAGUGAGCACACUUAGAGUGGUGCGUGGUGUCUGAGGGAACUUUUAUACACAGAAAACAACCGCUCAGUUAGUCCACCACAGUAAGCUUGUAAAACGCAACGAUUUUUUCAUUUUCAUUUCUUGAUUAGAGAGGUUGGUGACCAUCGAAGGGCUGUAUAGGUUAAAAACUAUCAAAAUCCAUUUUGAGGAACUGGUGUCCUAGUGGCCACAAACACCCCAAGACCACGCGGUGGGUGUGUUACUCUAGCUGCCGCCUCCUGUAGGCACCAGCACCUGACUGUGAGCACAACUGAGGCGCGGCCUUCCUGGUUAAACAGCUAUGUUACAGGGUCGAUCACUGGUUCGGACCAGUCAGCACAAUAUUCAAGUAACAAGGUGUUUAAAUGGAUAAGUGAAAACAAUUUUUACCUAACACUUGACACACCUACAUAAAAUUAAAUAGAACAAACUUUUAAUGCAUAUGCAGUACAAUUUAUAUCUUUUAGGAUUUCUAAACUAAAAGUUAAACUAUCAUUUGCUUCAAUGGUACUAUAUUUUGCACAAUAACUUAUACUUAGGAGAAAUUUUCCACAAAAAUAUAUAUAUAAUUAUGACAUUCACAUUGAUCAAUUUUUAAGAAGACAAAGCUUAAGUGAACACUGCAUCCGCAGCAGCUGUCACCGUGGACCCUUAUACAUCCAAACACGACCUGCUGAUGCACCGAAGUCUUGAUAUGUUAAAAAAGGGGCUUCACAUAAAUAAGAUCAAUCACUCAGCUUUUAAAGCUAAGUGAUUUCUUGCAUUUACAACAUCAUUGCAAAGACAGUGUAAUGAAACAGUUUAAAACACAGUGCUACGUUAUGCUUGAAACUACAAGGUGGAGAAGGAGUCAGGCAAAGACAACCAUCUUUCUUCCUUCUGGCCAAUGACAACAACGAUGCCCCCUUCUGGUGGAGAAAGCCAGAGCCGGGCUGCUGUGGCCGGCCUCGGGUACUGGAGCAGUGAUUCCUCAGCACUGGGCGAGCACAUGAGGGGAUGGUGCAGAACACACCCAGGGGCCCCGCUCCCUAGGAACCAGCAUGGGGCUUUCACGCCUUGCCAGAAGGAGAACUGCCCGGGCACGGAGAGGAACAGAUCUACUGGCAGAACGAGACCCACUGCAGCAAACUGCCUGCUGCUUCCAUAAAGAGGAAGGAGGCCUUGAGAAGCAAAGAGAACCUACGGCCUCGCUUCUUGCCUAGUGUCCCCUUUAAGCGAUGUGCAAAACUUUUGCCACCUCCUCUCCAUGGUUUACCUGCCAUUUUCCAAUCACACAGCAGGCUUAGGAUACGAGCCCAAACCAAUCCUACCUCGUGACUAGUGUUACUAGGCUACCCCGUCUAGGUAGGAGCAGCGAGCUGUGACUGCCCUCUGGCCUCCUCCGAUGCCGUUCUUCACACGCUCUUACCUGACCCACAGACUCCCUGUGAAGGGACAAGAUGACAAAAGUUGGGAAAGUCCCAUUUUACUGCCCCUGUGAAUGACCUUUCUCCAGAUUUCUAAAAACAUACAAAUCCAAACAGUCUAGGUUUCUAGCUGACGUUCUUCCUAAAGAGACAAUCAGCUGACUUUAAAAAAAAGUGGGGGGGGCGGGGAGGGGGGGAGGCAAGGUGCUUGGGAGUCAAAACACAUCAGAUUUUAAUUGCAUAUUUUAAAUUCUUAAGAAUUCUGUUUGUGCCUUAAAGCAUCUGCAUUUUUUUCUUUUUGGUAUUGAAAGCAGGAAAAAUAUUUAAAUGAUGCAAAACAGCAACAACAAAAG